rnacentral:rRNA from 1 species
AUGUCUAAGUAUAACCUUUAUACGGUGAAACUGCAGACGGCUCAUUACAACAGUGAUAAACUAUAGAACUUUCGCGCUUCGGCGUCUUGGAUAACCGCAGUAAAUCGGGGCUAAUACAUGUAAACGAAAGGAUGAGCGGGCAACUGCGAAUCUUUGCGAUUGUUAGCUUUCACACACCAACCUCUUCGGAGUUUGUGGUGAGUCCGAACAAUAUUGCUGAUCGGAAACUUGUUUCCGACAAGUUCUUUGUGUCACUGCCCUAUCAACUUUCGAUGGUAAGGUAUUGGCUUACCAUGGUUGUAACGGGUGACGGGGAAUCAGGGUUCGAUUCCGGAGAGGGAGCCUGAGAAAUGGCUACCACUUCUACGGAAGGCAGCAGGCGCGCAAAUUACUCAAUCCCAAUACGGGGAAGUAGUGACAAAAAAUACUAAUGCCUUUCCAUUUAUAUGGGGGGCAAUUGGAAUAAGUACAACUUAAAUCGCUUAGCAAAAGUGAUUGGAGGGCAAGUCUGGUGCCAGCAGCCGCGGUAAUUCCAGCUCCAAUAGCGUAUACUAAAUUUGUUGCAGUUAAAAAGCUCGUAGUUUAGACUGAGAUUUCUUAGGUUUAGCGGUCUGCAUUGCUUUAAUCGGUUAAUGUUUGAUUCGUAAAGCUUUAUAGUAGAAUUUCAUUUUAUUAUUAAAGUUACUAAGGAAUUUCCAACUGCCCAUGGUAGCCAGCAAUGGUUAUCAAUCGGGCGAUCCACUGUGAGAAAAUUGUAGUGUUCAAAGCAGACGUCUUCGUUUGUUCAAUGCAGCAUGGUAUGGUAAAAUAUGACACUAAAUGUAUGUUGGUUGUAUAUAUUAGUGUAAUGACUAAUAGGGAAGGGCGGGGCCGUUUAUAUUGAUGGGCGAGAGGUGAAAUUCGUUGACCCUAUCAAGAUACACAACAGCGAAAGCAUUCGGCAAGUACUUCUCCAUUAAUCAAGAACGAAAGUUUGGGGAUCGAAGACGAUCAGAUACCGUCGUAGUCCAAACCAUAAACUAUGUCGACCAGGGAUUGGACGGAUAAUUUUUUAAAAACUCGCUCAGAACCUUGUGAGAAAUCAUGAGUGUUUGGACUCUGGGGGGAGUAUGGUCGCAAGUCUGAAACUUAAAGGAAUUGACGGAAGGGCACACAAUGGAGUGGAAACCUGCGGCUUUAAUU